UGGGGAAUCUUGGACAAUGGGCGCAAGCCUGAUCCAGCCAUGCCGCGUGAGUGAAGAAGGCCUUAGGGUUGUAAAGCUCUUUUACCAGGGACGAUAAUGACGGUACCUGGAGAAUAAGCCCCGGCAAACUUCGUGCCAGCAGCCGCGGUAAUACGAAGGGGGCUAGCGUUGUUCGGAAUUACUGGGCGUAAAGCGCACGUAGGCGGGUCGUUAAGUCAGGGGUGAAAUCCCGGAGCUCAACUCCGGAACUGCCUUUGAUACUGGCGAUCUAGAGGUCGAGAGAGGUGAGUGGAAUUCCGAGUGUAGAGGUGAAAUUCGUAGAUAUUCGGAAGAACACCAGUGGCGAAGGCGGCUCACUGGCUCGAUACUGACGCUGAGGUGCGAAAGCGUGGGGAGCAAACAGGAUUAGAUACCCGCGUAGUCCCUGAGCGGGCUGGCAAGGCGCAU
rnacentral:rRNA from 1 species